ACUACGGGUGGCAGCAGUGGGGAAUAUUGGGCAAUGGGCGCAAGCCUGACCCAGCACCGCCGCGUGCAGUAUGAAGGUUUUCGGAUUGUACACUUCUGUCGCUAGGGACGAAGAAUUACGGUACCUCGUACGAAAGCCCCUGCUAACUACGUGCCAGCAGCCGCGUUACUCCGUAGGGGGCAGGCGUUAUCCGGAUUUACUGGGGGUAAAGGGAGCGUAUACGGCGCGGCAAGUCUGCAGUGAAAGGCAGGGGCUUAACCCCUGAACUGCUUUGGAAACUGCCAUGCUAGAGUGCUGCAGAGGUAAGUGGAAUUCCGAGUGUAGCGGUGAAAUGCGUAGAUAUUAGGAGGAACACCAGUGGCGAAGGCGGCUUACUGGACAGUAACUGACGUUGAGGCUCGAAAGCGUGGGGAGCAAACAGGAUUAGAUACCCCUGUAGUC
rnacentral:rRNA from 1 species